UUCAUGCUUCUGAGUCCCUGCGUUGAUUCCAAUUUACCUGAUGAAAUAGCUACUUCUUCUUUUCCUUGUGCUGGGGAUUGUAUUCUCCAGGGCCUUAUUUUCUUAAAGACAGGGUUUCAGUAACUCCCUAAGUUGCACCAGCUGCACUUAACCUUACCAUACUCCCACCUGUGCCUCCCACAGUGCUGGGAUUACAGGUGUGUAUCGCUGACCCCAUUCCCUUUCUAGUUCUAGCCAUGUUAUCUGUAGAGAAAGAUUUUUACUUGUAGAUGAGUGUAAGGAUAUUGGUUGGACAGGGCACAUGCAUUUUGGUCCUGUGUAGGUCCAGCUAUGUCAUCGCACGCAGUUUCUUUAGCUACACUGAACAAACACAAGACCUGGAGUUAUCUCAAUAGCCUGGGAUGCUAUGCGCUGGGCUCAAGGCAGGGUUGCCACAGGUUCCCAGCACAGGGGCUUGCCGGUCUCCUCCGGGUUGCGCUUGGCUGGGGCAGACACUGCGUGGGCACAGGUGUCACUCUCAAGGCUGCUGCUCUGGGGCCCAGCUUCCAACAGCCAAGGCCAGGACCCAGCAGCCCCUUCCGCCAUGUGAGCACUGCUAUGGUAGCAGAGACUAGGGGUGGGGGGCUGCGGUGGCCACCAGACCCCACCUGCAUGGCCUAGACAGAAGGCCAGGCCCAGGCUCAGUUGUGUAGGGACCCCGCCUCCCUGAUAGGGCUUCCCUGUGGGUGCUUCCCUGCCUGUGCCAGGUCUGAGGGAGCGGCGAGCACCUACAGUUGCAGUGGCCCAGUCAGGCUGCCCGAGCCUACCCUUCGCUCUGCAUCUGCCUGACCCAACUGUGCCCUGGCUGUCCAGUCCAGUAACAAGUGUUGCUUUGUGAAGGGUCUGGAGCUCAGCAUGGGCAGACAGCAGGAGAAUCUGUUACCACAUCUUGGAAAGUAGUUAUCGGUUACAACAACCCGUGCUUCAUGAAGACCUUUGAAAAUGUGGAUUCCCACCAACAUGUUAUAAAAUUAUGAUAAAGAUGGAAUGAAGUUACACUUACUUCAGGCGUUAAACCAGAAGGAGAUCCACCAGGACAAUUGGGACCACGUUUGUGAGUGGGCGGCAGCCUUCUGGGAUGUACCACGCUCAUUCAAGGGUCAAAUCAGAGAUGACCGUGCCACAGUGGUUCUGCUGUUGGGGCUGGGAUCCCAUGGCGCAGUCUCUGCUGUACCACGCAUGGAACCCCGGUUUGCUGGGUAUCUUAGCACACCUUCUCUGCCUCAUCCUUUUUGAGAAAUCUUUUCAAACCAGACAAGUAAAUGAGGGCGAAGGUGGAGAGGAGACUGAUUUGCCUUCUGCGUGCUCUGGGGUCGGGUUUGAAGUGUUGGUUGUGGACAGAGGCGGUGGCCCCGGCAUCUCGGAGCCAGUACCAACCGUGUCCCCAGUCUGUGAGCCAGUCUCAUAGAGCAGUGUCCCUGGGUUCUGUCCGUGUGCUUUUCCUGACAGGAUGUUUGAACCCAGUAUAAAAACAUAAUGCAAGCAGUAGCACCUCAUCCAUCCACCGGCUGGUUUUCUUAGAGUAUCAUGUCAGCUAAGAGCCUCCCCCUUCGCUUAACUGAUAAACACUUGUGAUUUGUGAAAUACCAGGUGCCUUUGAGGGCCCCCAAGUAAUUCAGAAACAAAAUUGGAAAUAUGGCUGCUUGCGGAUGCGGGAUACUCUGCCUGCAGCCCCUCAUAAGCUCAGAAGCUCUCGCCAGCUCUCCAGCCUGCGCUGCUGUUUCCGUCACGUGACCCAGGGUGCUCCCUGCCGUGUGCACAUUGCACUGCAGGAGUAAAAGCAAUCCUAGGCACAGCCGGAAGCCCCAGGUGCACCACACUGCCCAGCUGCUCACGGAGCACUUCCCCGCCACUCCCUUCCUGCCAGACAGCAGCCCAGUUUCCCUCAGGAAUAUCCAGGCCUGAGCAGUGGCGUGCAGUGCCAGAUCUUCACUCUCAACUCCUGUGCGCAAGUCUUUCUGAGGCUCCACGCAAUGAAAUGGAAAACCCGCGGGCAGUUCGGCAGCUGCCCGUGUGGGGGAUACAUCAUUAAAAGAAAGUUGUUCAUUAGAGCGUGUUGGCAGUACAUAACGAUUACAUUUAUCAUAGGGAGUUUGUACUUGUACAUAGCACAUCUUAAUU